rnacentral:rRNA from 1 species
AGAGUUUGAUCCUGGCUCAGGAUGAACGCUGGCGGCGUGCCUAAUACAUGCAAGUCGAGCGAAUGGAUUGAGAGCUUGCUCUCAAGAAGUUAGCGGCGGACGGGUGAGUAACACGUGGGUAACCUGCCCAUAAGACUGGGAUAACUCCGGGAAACCGGGGCUAAUACCGGAUAACAUUUUGAACUGCAUGGUUCG